rnacentral:tRNA from 1 species
GGUGGCUCAGUGGAGAGCGCUUGCCUUGCAAUGCAUGAGGCCCUGGGUUCGAUUCCUCAGCACCA